AUUGAACGCUGGCGGCAGGCCUAACACAUGCAAGUCGAACGAGUGGCGGACGGGUGUGUAAUGUCUGGGAAACUGCCCGAUGGAGGGGGAGAACUACUGGAAACGGUAGCUCAUAUCGCGUACGAUCGGAUGUGCCCAGAUGGGGUGAGCUUGUAGGUGUGGUAACGGCCCCCCUAGGCGACGAUCCCGAGCUGGUCUGAGAGGAUGACCAGCCACAUGGGAACUGAGACACGGUCCAGACGCCUACGGGAGGCAGCAGUGGGGAAUAUUGCACAAUAGGCGCAAGCCUGAUGCAGCCGUGCCGCGUGUAUGAAGAAGGCCUUGGGGUUGUAAAGUACUUUCAGCGGGGAGGCGUUACCCGCAGAAGAAGCACCGGCUAACUCCGUGCCAGCAGCCGCGGUAAUUC
rnacentral:rRNA from 1 species